CCGUUGAUGUUAACUACUGAGAAAUUGCUUCUAUAUUCAAUGAAAUUGAUGUUUUUCCAGCAAUUUUAGAUAUUUCUGCAAAUUUAUCCUUUCAACGGGAAAAGUCUGUUACUACAGAUCAAACCUGAUAUGCGUCGUAUCCGGUGAUAAGAUUAUAACUCCCCCGUUAACUAUUGAUGGGCGGGUUCAGGGAAAUCCAAGAGAGAGAAAACGGGACGUUGUCGGAUAUGGGAUUCCCGCCUCCGAUCCGAUCAGUUUCCACCCUUAUUAACCUUUCUUCCUAUGGGAGUUAAUGCUGCUAAUAUUAAGGACUACCUAUCUCCUAC
rnacentral:lncRNA from 1 species